UGCCCAUUAACUCCUAUCCCUACCUCCGCGUGGUACCAGCUGAAAACUACGAGUAACCUUAGGGAAGAUCAGGUAACCAACCCCGGUGGGACUUUGGUCGUAGGCUGACAGGAAAGG
rnacentral:ribozyme from 1 species